rnacentral:rRNA from 1 species
UUUGAUCCUGGCUCAGAUUGAACGCUGGCGGCAGGCCUAACACAUGCAAGUCGAGCGGUAACAUUUCUAGCUUGCUAGAAGAUGACGAGCGGCGGACGGGUGAGUAAUGCUUGGGAACAUGCCUUGAGGUGGGGGACAACAGUUGGAAACGACUGCUAAUACCGCAUAAUGUCUACGGACCAAAGGGGGCUUCGGCUCUCGCCUUUAGAUUGGCCCAAGUGGGAUUAGCUAGUUGGUGAGGUAAUGGCUCACCAAGGCGACGAUCCCUAGCUGGUUUGAGAGGAUGAUCAGCCACACUGGGACUGAGACACGGCCCAGACUCCUACGGGAGGCAGCAGUGGGGAAUAUUGCACAAUGGGCGCAAGCCUGAUGCAGCCAUGCCGCGUGUGUGAAGAAGGCCUUCGGAUUGUAAAGCACUUUCAGUCAGGAGGAAAGGUUAGUAGUUAAUACC